UGGGGAAUAUUGCACAAUGGGGGAAACCCUGAUGCAGCGACGCCGCGUGAGCGAUGAAGUAUUUCGGUAUGUAAAGCUCUAUCAGCAGGGAAGAAAAUGACGGUACCUGACUAAGAAGCCCCGGCUAACUACGUGCCAGCAGCCGCGGUAAUACGUAGGGGGCAAGCGUUAUCCGGAUUUACUGGGUGUAAAGGGAGCGUAGACGGCAUGGCAAGCCAGAUGUGAAAUACCGGGGCUCAACCCCGGGACUGCAUUUGGAACUGUUAAGCUGGAGUGUCGGAGAGGCAGGCGGAAUUCCUAGUG
rnacentral:rRNA from 1 species